rnacentral:rRNA from 1 species
UGACGCUGAGGCGCGAAAGCGUGGGGAGCGAACCGGAUUAGAUACCCGGGUAGUCCACGCCCUAAACGAUGCGGGCUAGGUGUUGGUCCGGACCUGGAUCGGUGCCGCAGCUAACGCGUUAAGCCCGCCGCCUGGGCAGUACGGCCGCAAGGCUGAAGCUCAAGGGAAUUGACGGGGUCCCACACAAGCGGUGGAGCAUGUGGUUUAAUUCGAUGCUAAACGAAGAACCUUACCCGGGCUUGACAUGCAGGUGGUACCGCCCCGAAAGGGAAGGGACCCCGGGCCGAAAGGCGCCGGGGAGCCUGCACAGGUGCUGCAUGGCUGUCGUCAGCUCGUGCCGUGGGGUGUUGGGUUAAGUCCCGGAACGAGCGCAACCCUUGCCACCAGUUGCCAGCGGGCCCUGCGGGGCGCCGGGGACUCUGGUGGGACUGCCGGGGAAUACCCGGAGGAAGGAGGGGAUGACGUCAAGUCCUCAUGGCCCUUAUGCCCGGGGCGACACACAUGCUACAGUGCCCGGUACAAUGGGACGCCAAGGGGUGACCCGGAGCCAAUCCCACCAAAGCCGGGCAUGGUUCGGAUUGCAGGCUGCAACCAGCCUGCAUGAAGAGGGAAUCGCUAGUAAUCGCGGGUCAGCCAUACCGCGGUGAAUACGUACUUGGGGCUUGUACACACCGCCCGUCACGCCAACCGAGUGGGGGGCACUUGAAGUCGUCCGAAAAGGGCGCCGAGGGUGUCCUUCAUGAGAGGGGCGAAGUCGUAACAAGGUAACCAAGCUCAGGACGA